GCAAGUUGUACGAGAAUUCUUUUGCUUGCAAAAGAUAGUAGAGUAGCGAACGGGUGAGUAACGCGUGGAUAAUCUGCCUUCAAAUUGGGGAUAACAUUGCGAAAGCGAUGCUAAUACCGUAUAAUAUCUUUUUUUCUUUGGAAUUAAAGAUCAAAGAUGGCCUCUAUAUUAUGCUAUUGUUUGAAGAUGAGUCCGCGUACCAUUAGCUUGUUGGUGGGGUAAUAGCCUACCAAGGCUACGAUGGUUAGCUGGUCUGAGAGGAUGAUC
rnacentral:rRNA from 1 species